CAGUCGCCGCGGUAAUACGUAGGUGGCAAGCGUUGUCCGGAAUCAUUGGGCGUAAAGCGCGCGCAGGCGGAUAGGUCAGUCUGUCUUAAAAGUUCGGGGCUUAACCCCGUGAUGGGAUGGAAACUGCCAAUCUAGAGUAUCGGAGAGGAAAGUGGAAUUCCUAGUGUAGCGGUGAAAUGCGUAGAUAUUAGGAAGAACACCAGUGGCGAAGGCGACUUUCUGGACGAAAACUGACGCUGAGGCGCGAAAGCCAGGGGAGCGAACGGGAUUAGAUACCCCAGUAGUCCCUGUCUCUUAUACA
rnacentral:rRNA from 1 species